ensembl:lncRNA
UUUUUCAUGAUUUCUUUUUCUUGGUUUCUUUUUCAUGGUUUCUUUUUCAUGAUUUCUUUUUCAUGACUUCUUUUUGAUGGUUUCUUUUUGAUGGCUUCUUUUUGAUGGUUUCUUUUUAUAAUUUUGUUUUUUCUUGCCUUUUAUGAUGUGAUUAAUACAUCUGAGCGUCAUAAAAUGCUUAUAUAAACACGUUUGCUUAACCGUACAUAAUAAUUUUUUCAUCUAUAAGUUUAAUAUAUAUUAAACCGACAAUUAAUUUUUAUUUCUUGUUUUUUUUACUUUGUUCAUUUUUUUUUUUUUUUUAAAUUUUUUUUUUUUAUAUUAUUAAACCAAUUUUUAUUUUAAACGAGUGGAUUUCAACUUCUAUUCUUGAUUUGUUAAAAGACACAAAUUUGUAUGAUUUUUUAUUUUAUUAUCAUGUACAUGUGUACUACUAUAGAUGAGUUAAACAUGUAAGUGCACAUGUGCAUAUGUAUGUAUGUUUUUUUACAUAUAUAUUCACACUUAUACUUUUAGCAUAUACAUUUACAUGUGUAUAUACAUACUCAUAUAUACUUGCAUAUUGUAAUUAUAAAUUAACUAAUCCAAAACAAAAAUGAUAAAAAGUAUAGAUUUUUUUAAAAUAGAAAAAGAAAUCAACGAAUAUAAAAUAAAACAAGAGGAAACAUUUGACUUUUAUAUUAGUAGCAUUAAUAAUUUAUUAGAUAAAGUUAAAAAAGCUAAGUUAAGUAUAGAACAUAAAAUAAAUCAAAAAAAAAAUGUUAACAAUAAAGAAACCUAUGUUAGUCAUAAAAGCUUAGAAGUAGCAGGUGGUCCGAACAAUUUGGUCGAUGUUGCUGAAAUAAAACAUAUCGAAACCGACAAAAAUGGUGAUUAUUAUAAUUCGCAUAUAAACAUAGUGAAAGAAAAUGGCAUACAUAAAUAUAACACAUAUGAACAUAUUUUACCUAAUUAUAACGAACUCGCUUGCAACUACGACAUUAAGGAUUUUAUAAAAGAAGUUUCAAGUUUUAACAUGACUAAAAAAAUAAUUGAAGAAAAUAAAAAAUUUUAUUAUAUAUUAUUAUCAUCUUAUAAAGGAAUAAUAUCGUUAAUAAAAGAAAGUGCACCUGAUGUUUUUAAUAAUAUUAAUAUAAAAAAAAAUAUUAUAUUAAGACUAAUUUUGUUACAUUUUUUACAAACAGGUGACUUCUUUAUGUAUUAUGUAUUAAAUAAAGAGAUAUUAAAUAAAAAGAAAAAAAAGUUAAAUAAAGAUAAUAAAUUACAAGAUAAAUCGAUUACAGAUGCAAUAACUAUCGGUGCGCAUGAUAAUCGCAUCGGCAAUGCUCUGAUUAGUAGCAAUAGUAUUAGUGGUAAUAAUGGUAUCAAAAGUAAUGACAUUGGUAGCCAUGGUAUCAGAAGCAAUAUCAAUAACAACAGUAACAGUAACGGUAACAACAUGACGGAUUAUAUAAACAAAUCCAACAACAAAGAGUCCGUAGCAGUUCUUCAAACAAAUAAAAACUUUGUACAAAAUGGGAAUAUACAACCAUUGAAUAGUGUUAAAACUAUCGACCAAAGCAAAAGAAUAAGUAAUAAAAAUGAUAUAUCUUAUGAUGAAAGUAGAAAAACAAAAAAACAGGCACAAUGUGAGCACAUUUGUAACAACGGGGAAACAUACACUAAUUGCAGUAAAUGCGAUAGCAAGAGUAAUGACGACCCUUUUUUGAAUAAUGUUACAGAAAAAAACGAAAUAGCUAAAAAUGAAAUAGCUAAAAACGAAAUGGCUAAAAGCGAAAUGGCUAAAAACGAAAUGGCUAAAAGCGAAAUGGCUAAAAACGAAAUAGCUAAAAACGAAAUGGCAGAAGCAAAAGAAGAAAAUGAUGUACUAAAAUGGAAUGAAAAAAUAGAAGCAUACGAAGUAAAUGGUAUUUAUUCUGUACUUCUUAAUAAGAUAAAAAAGUGCACAUUUAAUAACGCACAUACAGUUGGUACUGCUGUAACAAAUAUUAUUAGUCCAUUCAGUAACAACAACCAGAAUACAAGUUUGUUUAAAGAACGCAAAAAACAAUACAUACAAAAAAUAAGGUACGAAAACAACUGCGAACAAAUAGAUAUAAAACAUGCAUUAGUAGAAAAAGAGAUAUUUGAAGGAUAUAAACAAUUACAUAUAUUUCUAUAUAAUUUAAAAGAGUUGAAUGCGUUUAUAUGUAUAGAUUGGUUUUAUAGUUGUAGUGAACCUAUAAAAAAAAAAUAUUCUAAAUUAAUAUAUUUGUUACAUUGUGUGAAUUAUUUAAAAUAUUUAAAAUAUGAUAAUUUAAAAGCGUUAAACUAUUUAAGAGAGCUUACGAAAAAUUUUAGUGAGAAUAAACAGCAUAUUGCUAAGUUAAGCACUUUUAUUUGUAUAGGC